CCACACUGUAAACGAUGAUUACUAGGUGUGGGGAGUCUGACCCUCUCCGUGCCGCAGUUAACGCAAUAAGUAAUCCACCUGGGGAGUACGAUCGCAAGAUUAAAACUCAAAGGAAUUGACGGGGGCCCGCACAAGCAGUGGAUUAUGUGGUUUAAUUCGAAGCAACGCGAAGAACCUUACCAGGUCUUGACAUCUCCUGAAUAGCUUAGAGAUAAGUGAAGCCCUUCGGGGCAGGAAGACAGGUGGUGCAUGGUUGU
rnacentral:rRNA from 1 species